rnacentral:lncRNA from 1 species
CUCAUGUAUAAAAGUAUCGUAUGCAUUUACUGUACUUUAAAAUAGCGUCGAUCAUUUUAAAUAAUAAAAAAAAAGAACGACUCUUGGAACUAAAUUCGGAUGUUUUUAGAAUUUUAAAAUUUGAAUAUAAAAACUGCCAUAUUGACCUCGAUAUCAAACUAUUGCUGAGGAAACAAAACCAGUUCGAUGUCCUUCUACUCAUUGUAGCCAACCUUGAAAGGGCCACGCAAACACGCAAAUCUUAGCUCCCCUAGCUGUACCAGUUACGUGUUUAGAAAUUAACUGGAGUAUUCGAUUGGAAAAUAUUUUUCAUUUCCACGUGUUUGAUAAGAAAUGGGACGAGAUAGUUUAAAAUCUAGAAAAGGAACCGGUUGUGUAUGUUAUGGCUGAAAAUCCUAUGUGAAUACUAAAAUUGCUUUGCGCUAUGAUGAUUAUUAUUAUUAAAACAAAAUUUUUGCAUUGGAGAUACGAAUACUUUCAUUUGACGAUUUCUUCAUAAAAAUGGCAUUAUCUUUUCU